UACAGAGGGGGCAAGCGUUAUUCGGAAUUAUUGGGCGUAAAGGGCGCGUAGGCGGCAUGGCAAGUGGAUGGUGAAAUCCCUCGGCUUAACCGAGGAACUGCCGUCCAAACUGCUUCGCUUGAGACCGGGAGAGGUGAGUGGAAUUCCCAGUGUAGCGGUGAAGUUCGUAGAUAUUAGGAAGAACACCGGUGGCGAAGGCGGCCCACUGGUCCGGUACUGACGCUGAGGUGCGAAAGCGUGGGGAGCAAACAGG
rnacentral:rRNA from 1 species